rnacentral:rRNA from 1 species
AACGAACGCUGGCGGCAUGCCUAACACAUGCAAGUCGAACGGGAUCCUGACUUCGGUCAGGUGAGAGUGGCGGACGGGUGAGUAACGCGUGGGAACCUGCCCAGUGGUGGGGGAUAACUGCGGGAAACUGCAGCUAAUACCGCAUGAGCCCGAGAGGGGAAAGAUUUAUCGCCAUUGGAGGGGCCCGCGUUCGAUUAGGUAGUUGGUGAGGUAACGGCUCACCAAGCCUUCGAUCGAUAGCUGGUCUGAGAGGAUGAUCAGCCACACUGGGACUGAGAUACGGCCCAGACUCCUACGGGAGGCAGCAGUGGGGAAUAUUGGACAAUGGGGGGCAACCCUGAUCCAGCAAUGCCGCGUGAGUGAUGAAGGCCUUCGGGUUGGUUAAAGGACUCUUUUGUCCAGGACGAUGAUGACGGUACCUGGAGAAUAAGACCCCGGCUAACUCCGUGCCAGCAGCCGCGGUAAU